rnacentral:misc_RNA from 1 species
GAUGAAGAACGUAGCGAAAUGCGAUAAGUAAUGCGAAUUGCAGAAUUUCCGUGAGUCAUCGAAUCUUUGAACGCACAUUGCGCCCGCCAGCAUUCUGGCGGGCAUGCCUGUUCGAGCGUCAUUUCAACCCUCGACCUCCCCUUGGGGAGGUCGGCGUUGGGGACCGGCAGCACACCGCCGGCCCUGAAAUGGAGUGGCGGCCCGUCCGCGGCGACCUCUGCGCAGUAAUACAGCUCGCACCGGGACCCCGACGCGGCCACGCCGUAAAACACCCAACUUCUGAACGUUGACCUCGAAUCAGGUAGGACUACCCGCUGAACUUAAGCAUAUCAAUAAGCGGAGGA